rnacentral:rRNA from 1 species
CUAUAGGCGGGGUCUUACCAUGCAGUCGGAUGUGCCGCAAGGUGCAUGGCAGACGGGUGAGUAACGCGUAGGGAACCUACCUCUUUGUGGGGAAUAACGUUCCGAAAGGAACGGUAAUACCGCAUGUGAUCACAGACUGGAAUGUUUGUGAUGAAAGCCGGGGACCGAAAGGCCCGGCGCAAGGAGAGGGUCCUGCGUCUGAUUAGCUAGUUUGUGGGGUAACGGCCUACCAAGGCGACGAUCAGUAGCCGGCCUGAGAGGGUGAUCGGCCACACUGGAACUGAGACACGGUCCAGACUCCUACGGGAGGCAGCAGUGGGGAAUUUUGCGCAAUGGACGAAAGUCUGACGCAGCAACGCCGCGUGGGUGAUGAAGGUCUUCGGAUUGUAAAACCCUGUCGUCAGGGACGAAGGUAUGGUUCUUAAUACGGAUCAUGCUUGACGGUACCUGGAGAGGAAGCCCCGGCUAACUCUGUGCCAGCAGCCGCGGUAAUACAGAGGGGGCAAGCGUUAUUCGGAAUUAUUGGGCGUAAAGGGCGCGUAGGCGGUUUUGUAAGUAGGAUGUGUAAUCCCCGAGCUUAACUUGGGAACUGCAUCCUAGACUGCAAGGCUAGAGUGCUGGAGAGGGUGGUAGAAUUCCACGUGUAGCGGUGAAAUGCGUAGAGAUGUGGAGGAAUACCAGUGGCGAAGGCGGCCACCUGGACAGCAACUGACGCUGAGGCGCGAAAGUGUGGGGAGCAAACAGGAUUAGAUACCCUGGUAGUCCACACUGUAAACGAUGAACACUUGGUGUGGCGGGAGUUGACCCCCGCCGUGCCGGAGCUAACGCGUUAAGUGUUCCGCCUGGGGAGUACGGUCGCAAGGCUGAAACUCAAAGGAAUUGACGG